AGGACGAACGCUGGCGGCGUGCCUAACACAUGCAAGUCGAGCGAGGAGAUUCCUUCGGGAUGAUCCUAGCGGCGGACGGGUGAGUAACACGUGGGCAACCUGCCUCAUAGAGAGGAAUAGCCUUCCGAAAGGGAGAUUAAUACCUCAUAACAUUGCAGUUUCGCAUGGAACAGCAAUUAAAGGAGCAAUCCGCUAUGAGAUGGGCCCGCGGCGCAUUAGCUAGUUGGUGAGGUAACGGCUCACCAAGGCGACGAUGCGUAGCCGACCUGAGAGGGUGAUCGGCCACAUUGGGACUGAGACACGGCCCAGACUCCUACGGGAGGCAGCAGUGGGGAAUAUUGCACAAUGGGGGGAACCCUGAUGCAAGCAACGCCGCGUGAGUGAUGACGGCCUUCGGGUUGUAAAGCUCUGUCUUCAGGGACGAUAAUGACGGUACCUGAGGAGGAAGCCACGGCUAACUACGUGCCAGCAGCCGC
rnacentral:rRNA from 1 species